UACGGGGGGAGCAAGCGUUGUUCGGAUUUACUGGGCGUAAAGGGCGCGUAGGCGGCCAGCACAAGUCAGUUGUGAAAUCUCCGGGCUUAACUCGGAAAGGUCAACUGAUACUGUGCGGCUAGAGUGCAGAAGGGGCAACUGGAAUUCUCGGUGUAGCGGUGAAAUGCGUAGAUAUCGAGAGGAACACCUGCGGCGAAGGCGGGUUGCUGGGCUGACACUGACGCUGAGUGAGCGAAAGCCAGGGGAGCAAACGGG
rnacentral:rRNA from 1 species